rnacentral:rRNA from 1 species
UACGUAGGGUGCGAGCGUUGUCCGGAAUUAUUGGGCGUAAAGAGCUCGUAGGCGGCUUGUCGCGUCGGAUGUGAAAGCCCGGGGCUUAACUCCGGGUCUGCAUUCGAUACGGGCAGGCUAGAGUCCGGUAGGGGAGAUCGGAAUUCCUGGUGUAGCGGUGAAAUGCGCAGAUAUCAGGAGGAACACCGGUGGCGAAGGCGGAUCUCUGGGCCGAUACUGACGCUGAGGAGCGAAAGCGUGGGGAGCGAACAGG